GGGAAGGUGGCUCAGUGGUAAAGUGCUUGCCUUGCAUGCAUGAGACCCUGGGUUCGAUUCCUCAGC
rnacentral:tRNA from 1 species